rnacentral:rRNA from 1 species
CUACGGGCGGCUCCAGUGGGGAAUAUUGCACAAUGGGCGCAAGCCUGAUGCAGCCAUGCCGCGUGUAUGAAGAAGGCCUUCGGGUUGUAAAGUACUUUCAGCGGGGAGGAAGGGAGUAAAGUUAAUACCUUUGCUCAUUGACGUUACCCGCAGAAGAAACACCGGCUAACUCCGUGCCAGCAGCCGCGGUAAUACGGAGGGCGCAAGCGUUAAUCGGAAUUACUGGGCGUAAAGCGCACGCGGGCGGUUGGUUAAGUCAGAUGUGAAAUCCCCGGGCUCAACCUGGGAACUGCAUCUGAUACUGGCAAGCUUGAGUCUCGUAGAGGGGGGUAGAAUUCCAGGUGUAGCGGUGAAAUGCGUAGAGAUCUGGAGGAAUACCGGUGGCGAAGGCGGCCCCCUGGACGAAGACUGACGCUCAGGCGCGAAAGCGUGGGGAGCAAACAGGAUUAGAUACCCCGGUAGUC